AUAUAUUUAGUUUAUAAUAAAACAAUAGCUUGUGGGGCUAUAAUUUCUUAAAUAAACC
rnacentral:tRNA from 1 species